rnacentral:rRNA from 1 species
AGCGAACGCUGGCGGCAGGCUUAACACAUGCAAGUCGAACGCCCCGCAAGGGGAGUGGCAGACGGGUGAGUAACACGUGGGAACGUACCCUUUGGUUCGGAAUAACUUGGGGAAACUCAAGCUAAUACCGGAUAAGCCCUUAUGGGGAAAGGUUUACUGCCGAAGGAUCGGCCCGCGUCUGAUUAGCUAGUUGGUGAGGUAAUGGCUCACCAAGGCGACGAUCAGUAGCUGGUCUGAGAGGAUGAUCGGCCACACUGGGACUGAGACACGGCCCCGACUACUACGGGAGGCAGCAGUGGGGAAUAUUGGACAAUGGGGGCAACCCUGAUCCAGCCAUGCCGCGUGAGUGAUGAAGGCCUUAGGGUUGUAAAGCUCUUUUACCCGGGACGAUAAUGACUGUACCGGGAGAAUAAGCCCCGGCUAACUUCGUGCCAGCCGCCGCCGUAA